UACAUAGGGGCCAAGCGUUAUCCGGAUUUAUUGGGCGUAAAGCGCGCGUAGGUGGUCGACCAAGUCGGGUGUCAAAUAUGGAAGCUCAACUUUCAUACGCGCCCGAAACUGUUCGGCUUUGAGGUCGGUAGAGGGAAGCGGAACUCACAGUGUAGCGGUGAAAUGCGUAGAUAUUGUGAGGAACACCAGUGGCGAAGGCGGCUUCCUGGCCCGUACCUGACGCUAAAGCGCGAAAGCAUGGGGAG
rnacentral:rRNA from 1 species